rnacentral:lncRNA from 1 species
CGUGGGGGGAGGAAGCUGUCCUUGGGAUGAUUGCUCUUGCCCUCCCCUUGGUCACUGGGGAGGGAAGGGGCGGAUGGGGAAGGAGGUACUCUUCCAUCGUCCCGGCAGAAAGGCUGGGGCCCGCAAUCGCGCUGAAGUGCCAAAGAGGGGUCGGCCAGCUGGGAUUCUCUAUGGUGGGAGGAGGGGUAGACUGUAUUUUUGUGGCCAGCAUCACUUUUCAUCCUCAUUCGUCCACCUUCUUUGAUGAGUUCAUUUUACUCCCCUUUACGACCUGUGACGGACUCAGAGACGAACCGGCCCCAGGCUGCCCAGGGAGGAUUUGAACCCAUGUCCCGCCUUCAAGGCAGUCCCUGUCUGGAUAACCCGUAGAGCUCAGUCUCCUGGACUCGGCCAGGGGAGCAGAAAGGAGGCUGCUCGGAUGAGUCGUCAUCCAGAGCCCUCCUCCAGGAUCAGGGCCAAAGCGGGCACCUCCUUCCAGCCCAUCGUGGUCUUCUUGUCUUCCCAGGCCAACCUCUCCAAGGAGGGCAAAAGCCACAUCUCCUGCUCGCGGUGGGCUCCUGUCCUGGGAGGAGGGGGGGGGCGAUGCUUUCUUUGCUGACCCUUGCCUCCCCCCCAAUCCUUCUGCUCCCACUGCCCACCUUGAUUGCCACCGACGUGAGGGUGGGGCAUUUGCACACAGCUUGGAGUGGGGAGCACACACACCCCCACCUCCCCCUCGGUGGUGCUGGAGGGCAAGCCGCCUCCCGCCUCCCACUGAACUCCUGCUCCUCUCUGCAGGUCGUCCCUGGGCUUGAGCGUCAUCUCGGCUGCCGGUUGCGUCUUUGGGGCCUACCUGAUGGUGCUGGCAGCCCUCAGCCCCUGCCCGCCACUGGUGGGCUCGUCCCUCGGCGUCGCUCUGGUGGUCGUCUCCUGGAUCCUGUUCAUGGGCCUCUUCUCAUACCUGAAAGUGGUGAUCGGAAGCUUGCUGCACGAGGCCGGCCACAGCGCCCUGGUCUGGUGUGGGGCCGUCAUCCAGGCGGGCUCCUUGGUGGGGGCCCUGUCCAUGUUCCCCCUCACCAGCAUCUACCACCUCUUCCAGAGCGGCAGGGACUGCGUGGACAACUGCCCGGCGUGAGCUGGAAGAAUGCCCGCUGGGCCUGACCCCUGGGGACCGGGACCGGCUUUCCAAAGGUCUCUCGGCCCCUCUCCAGGUGCAGCUGCAGCCGACCCUGGUAGCCCUUGAGCCGGCCUUCUUCGCCUGCCUGCCUGCCUGGGGGAUCUCCCGGACUCUCUUCUAGCUCUGAGGGGGACCGGCUGCCUCCUCUGGACCCGGCACCGAUGUGGCUGCUCUCUCCUAGCUCCGAGGGGGACCGGCUGCCUCCCCUGGACCCGGCACCGAUGUGGCCGAGGAGCGCUGCCCUGCUGCUCCUGCUGUGCCCCGGCUGUGCUUCUCGGACAGGACAGGCCGCGAGGGGCUGCCUGCCUUCCUCCCCCCCCCCUUUAGGCAAUCUUCCUCCUGCUGUCUUAGGCUUGGAUUGCAUUUGGCGGGCCCUUUUCCCAGGGAGCCAAGGCCCUUCGGUCACUUGUGGCCCUAAAGGUGUCCCCCCCCAAGGGCUGAGCAAGCAGGGGAUGGCUAGAGCCCCAGACAGGUUGCCUACGGCAGCCCUUGCAGGCCCACGGCUGCCGUCUCUCCCAGGAAGGUGGGUGGGUGGGUGCUGCCUUGUUUAGUGACUCUGCCUUUUCUUCCACUCCAGAAGCUCUCUCUCUAGCCGCUGCAGCACAAGCGUGGGAUGCUCCCAACUGGGGGAGGUGAAGGGAGUGGGGGGGCUUUGUUGCCAGAUUCAGGGGGUCGGGUGCUGCUUCCACCCCACCGAUUUCUCCCCCAACCACCACCACCUAUGUGCCUUCAUGCAGCGGAGUGUUCUUCUCUUCACUCUGGGACCAACUCUUCUCCAGCCGCCCCUCCAGGCCCUUUGAAUAGCUGGAAGUUCAGCUGGGUGGAGAGCUGGCAUCCAAGGAGAUCCUUGGCGGGGGGGGGGGGGCCGGGNNNNNNNNNNNNNNNNNNNNNNNNNGGGAUUUCCAGCAACUGCAGAGCAAGCCACAGAGCUGGGACUGGAGGGGCCAGAAGGAAAUAAAUUUUUCUAUUUUGGACUUUGUAUCCUCUAU